CCGAUUGCUGGAUCAGGCGAUCCUGCGUAUUCGGGAUACCCAACAGCCGCUCCCCGCCUUGCGGCUUGGGGAUCCUGAUGCCUUUGAUAGGCCC
rnacentral:tRNA from 1 species